rnacentral:rRNA from 1 species
UUAAAUUGAAGAGUUUGAUCAUGGCUCAGAUUGAACGCUGGCGGCAGGCCUAACACAUGCAAGUCGAACGGCAGCACAGAAGAGCUUGCUCUUUGGGUGGCGAGUGGCGGACGGGUGAGUACAGGCUUGGGAA